CCUACGGGAGGCAGCAGUCGGGAAUUUUGGGCAAUGGGGGAAAUCCCUGACCCAGCAACGCCGCGUGAGGGAUGAAGGCCCUCGGGUCGUAAACCUCUGUCGGAAGGGAAGAAAGGCCUCCGUUCGAACAGGGCGGGGGCUCGACGGUACCUUCAAAGGAAGCACCGGCUAACUCCGUGCCAGCAGCCGCGGUAAUACGGAGGGUGCAAGCGUUGUUCGGAAUCACUGGGCGUAAAGCGCGUGUAGGCGGCUUGGCAAGUCGAGUGUGAAAUCCCAGGGCUCAACCCUGGAACUGCACCCGAAACUGCCUGGCUGGAGUCCCGGAGAGGGUGGCGGAAUUUCCGGUGUAGAGGUGAAAUUCGUAGAUACCGGAAGGAACACCAGUGGCGAAGGCGGCCACCUGGACGGUGACUGACGCUGAGACGCGAAAGCGUGGGGAGCAAACAGGAUUAGAUACCCUGGUAGUCCACGCCGUAAACGUUGAGUGCUAGGCGUCGGGGGUAUUGACCCCUCCGGUGCCGGAGUUAACGCAUUAAGCACUCCGCCUGGGGAGUACGGCCGCAAGGCUAAAACUCAAAGGAAUUGACGG
rnacentral:rRNA from 1 species